AUUGAACGCUGGCGGCAUGCCUAACACAUGCAAGUCGAACGGCAGCACAGUAAAGAUUUCGGUCUUUAUGGGUGGCGAGUGGCGGACGAGUGAGUAAUGCGUAGGAAUCUGUCCUGGAGAGUGGGAUAACCCGAGGAAACUCGGGCUAAUACUGCAUGAUAUCGAGAGAUCAAAGGCAGGGGACCCUUCGGGGCCUUGCGCUCUAGGAUGAGCCUACGUCGGAUUAGCUAGUUGGGGGGGUAAAGGCCUACCAAGGCGACGAUCCGUAGCUGGUCUGAGAGGAUGACCAGCCACACUGGGACUGAGACACGGCCCAGACUCCUACGGGAGGCAGCAGUGGGGAAUCUUGGACAAUGGGGGAAACCCUGAUCCAGCGAUGCCGCGUGUGUGAAGAAGGCCUUCGGGUUGUAAAGCACUUUAGUUGGGGAAGAAAAGUAAUGAGUGAAUAACUGAUUGCUCUGACGGUACCCAAAGAAUAAGCACCGGCUAACUCUGUGCCAGCAGCCGCAGUAA
rnacentral:rRNA from 1 species